rnacentral:rRNA from 1 species
ACUCCUACGGGAGGCAGCAGCAGGGAAUAUUGCACAAUGGGCGAAAGCCUGAUGCAGCGACACCGCGUGCGGGAUGACGGCCUUCGGGUUGUAAACCGCUUUCAGGAGGGAAGAAAAUGACGGUACCUCCAGAAGAAGCUCCGGCCAACUACGUGCCAGCAGCCGCGGUAAUACGUAGGGAGCAAACGUUGUCCGGAUUUAUUGGGCGUAAAGGGCUCGUAGGCGGUUCAACAAGUCGGUCGUGAAAGCCCGGAGCUCAACUCCGGGACGCCGGUCGAAACUGUUGUGACUAGAGUUCGGUAGAGGUGAGUGGAAUUCUCGGUGUAGCGGUGGAAUGCGCAGAUAUCGAGAGGAACACCAUUAGCGAAGGCGGCUCACUGGGCCGAUACUGACGCUGAGGAGCGAAAGCGUGGGGAGCAAACAGGAUUAGAUACCCUGGUAGCGAG